rnacentral:rRNA from 1 species
AGUGAACGCUGGCGGUAGGCCUAACACAUGCCAGUCGAACGGCCGCUCCGUGAUAGCUUGCUCUUACGGGUGGCGAGUGGCGGACGGGUGCGUUAUACAUCGGAUUCUACUUUUUCGUUUGGGCUAACGUCGGGUAUGUUCCGCUAAUACCGCAUACGACCUCCUUAUGACAGCCGGCGUCCUUCUGACCUUGUGCUUUUGAUUGAGGCGGUGUCGGGUUAGCUAGUUGGCGGGGUCAGGGCUCACCAAGGCGACGAUCCGUAGCUCGUCUGAGAGGAUGGACAACUAGACUGGAAGUGAGGAAGGGUCGCGACAUCUACGGGGAGCAGCAGUGGGGAAUACUGCGCGAUGGGCGAGAGGCUGAUCCAGCCAUAUCGCGUGAGGGAAGAAGGACUUCUGGUGGGAAAACCCUGUUGGUGGGAAAGAAGAGCAGCAGUUUAACCCCCCGCUGUUCUGACGGUACCCAAAGAAUAAGCACCGGCUAACUUCGUG